AAUGGAAUUGCUGGGUGAAAUAGUAGCUCUGUUUAACAUUUCUUGAGAAUUUCUAGACUGUUUUCCAAAGUGGCUGCACCAUUUUGGACUCCCACCAGCAGU
rnacentral:pre_miRNA from 1 species